rnacentral:lncRNA from 1 species
UGUUUACACAUAAAAGAAAAUGUGAAAAGUCUCGAAAUGGAGAUUUUGAGCCAGAAUAAGAAAAGGAAGAAACCAGCAGGAAAACUUGAACAUGCUCAGAAAAACUUGUCAAAUGACAGUUUGUUGACAGAAGCACAAGAUCAAGGUACAAGCUCUGUGCAACAUGAUGAAAAAAUGGAAGAACCCUUAGACAGGUAUGGCUUAACCAAAUGACUUGAGAAUCUAUAAAGGAAAUUAGCAGCAUAAUAUGAGACAUAUUGCAGUUAUAUAAGUACUAAAUCUUCAUUAGGCCAGGGGAAAAUUCUAGCUUUGAUAAAUGUACCUGAAAGGAGUAAUUUAGGGGAGCAGAAAUAGUACAGUGAGGAGAGAGCAUGUGCUUUCCACGUGGAGCCCUGUGUUCAUUCCCA